AGAGUUUGAUCAUGGCUCAGGAUGAACGCUAGCGACAGGCUUAACACAUGCAAGUCGAGGGGCAGCAUGAUUUGUAGCAAUACAGAUUGAUGGCGACCGGCGCACGGGUGAGUAACGCGUAUGCAACUUACCUAUCAGAGGGGGAUAGCCCGGCGAAAGUCGGAUUAAUACCCCAUAAAACAGGGGCCCCGCAUGGGAAUAUUUGUUAAAGAUUCAUCGCUGAUAGAUAGGCAUGCGUUCCAUUAGGCAGUUGGCGGGGUAACGGCCCACCUAGUCAACGAUGGAUAGGGGUUCUGAGAGGAAGGUCCCCCACAUUGGAACUGAGACACGGUCCAAACUCCUACGGGAGGCAGCA
rnacentral:rRNA from 1 species